AUGGAGAGGCAACGGGCCCUGGCCGAGGCGAACCAGCAGCGCGGCCAGCUGGCCAACGACAAGGGCCGGAUCCAGGCCGAGGUGGAUCGCCUGCGGGAGCGGGACGCCGCGGCCGAGGAGGCUUGUCAGGACGAGACUCAUCGCUGGGAGGCGGCUGAGAAGGCGGCCGAAGACAGGGACUCCGAGUUGAAGGCGACCCUUGCUAAGGCGGCCGAUCUGGAGAAGGCACUCGGGGAGCGCGACCGCGUCAUGGAGCGGGAGCAGCGUGGUACGUUGCUCGAGGCGCAACACCUGGAAGAUUCCUUCUCCAGGGCAUUCCCGGAGACGCAGCAGCUGGCGGAGGAAGCCGUCCGCUACCGGCGCCACCCGACCGGCGUUGUCGGGUCUGGGACGGAUCCGCGGGUGGCCUGGACCUUCCCGGAGAUCAUUGCCACUUCAGAGGCCCACCUGCGGGUCCUCGGGACACAGAUGGAGUGGCUGUCCCAGGCUGGCACCACGAUGACGGCGGCCCUGUGGCCGGACUCCGUCCAUCCGCCCAGCUUCUCGCGCCUGGCGUGUUGGUUGGAGAUGGGCCCAGACCAUCUUGGUGAGUGGCGUGUUUCCGCCACCCGUGCCGGUGCCGAGAUGGCGCUUCAGUUCGUGCUGUCUUGGCAUCCGGAUCUUCAGCUGGACGCGCUGAUGGGCCAGCGCGCUGGUUCGGAGUAG
rnacentral:rRNA from 1 species